GGAAGUUCUCUCAAACUGCCAGUCCCUGAGAUAUUGUAUAUUUUCUAUCUGAAAAACUUUUAUUCUCAGAAUUCUUUAAAAGAGCUGUCCCUGAGGCUCCCAUUACUUACCUGUGACUCCCAGUGGAAAUCGUACCCAGCCCCUCGAGAGGGGCUGAAUCUGUUGAGAGUGGGAGGGUAGAAAAAAUGCUGCAGCUUCUUGUGGGUAAACUUCACACACAAACACCCAGUGCCCCAAGCACUGUGCAGUCAAACAUCAACCCUGCUCAGACUUUCCUCCUUGGGAUUGAGAAGCAAUGGAUUAUAGAGAAAGAAAGGUGGCUUAGCACUCCAAAACUUGGAAGGGUAAUUGACCAAGACCCCCCAAAGCCAAAGCAGUGGGCAUCGCCACUUUCUGUAUACCCUAUACCAACACGUAAUGGCUACUAGAUACAGGGGCACUAGUACCUGUCUGCUUGGCUACCUCCCCUUCUUGCAGAAGUGGUGAAGGGAAUCACUCAACCUCAGGAAGGGAAAAUGGCUUUCUCAUCUUCAAAUUGAAAGAGGUUGGCAGUGGGUGAGGAGAAUAACAGGUAAGGAUCUCUUUCAAUAUACCCAUUUGAAGCCAAAACCUCAGUUUAGACAUACGGUAUUUUGAACCUGGUGACUAUUCAUUGCCCAUGUUUGUGAAUUAUCAGAAAGCAGAAUUCUUGCCAGGCAUAGCGGCUCAUCCCUGUAAUCCCAGCACUUUGGGAAGCCAAGGUGGGAGGAUCACUUGAGCCCAGGAGUUUGAGACCAGCCUGGGCAACAUGGUGAGAUCUUGACUCUACAAAAAAUUCAAACAUUAGCUGGGCAUGGUGGCAUGCACUUGUGGUCCCAGCUACUCAGGAGGCUGAGGUGGGAGGAUUACCUGAGCCCAGGAGGUUGAAGCUACAGUAAGCAGUGUCUGUGCCACUACGCUCAGCCUGAGCAACAGAGCAAGACCCUGUUUCCCACCCCUACCCACCCCCUAAAAAAGCAAGCUGAAUUCUUGAACUCCCUGCAACCAGGUCACGCAAACCAAAGGUAAAAGGAACAUAAAAAAGCCUUCUGGAAAGUGUACAGAAAUUCAUUGCAGGGUGAUUUUUGUCUUGUGAAAUCAUAGUUACUGUUAUUAGCAGCUUUUUUAAAUGUUUUAUAUUCAUUUUUUAUGGUGUUCUGAUGUAUGAGCUGCUUCAAGUGUUUUUGGACAUAGCUUGGGUAUAAAAUGUAAAAAGUGG
rnacentral:lncRNA from 10 species